UUUGUACUCCCUCCGUUUGAAAAUACUUGUCAUCAAAAUGGAUAGAAAAUGAUGUAUCUAAAACUAAAAUACAUCUAGAUACAUCACCUUUUAUUCAUUUUAGUGACAAGUAUUUCCGGACGGAGGGAGCACAUA
rnacentral:pre_miRNA from 1 species